rnacentral:lncRNA from 1 species
GCGGCCAAUGUAGUCAGUCUGGGGACCCACCUCCCCCUUUCAGCUGAGCGCACACAACACAGCAUCCACGUGAGUCAGCUUCUUAAAGGCGAAGGCUUGGCCUGUCUAAUUGCGGCAGCUGCGAGACAUCGCACGUCAUUAGCGUCACCAGGUAGCGGCUGGAGCCGAGCUUCCUGAUACCUAGUGAGCCGCGGUGAUGACAAAUGAAAACAAUAAGCUGUUUCCUAGACAAACAGCUGCCUAGUUUCGCUCUGUCGCCCAGGCUGGAGUGCAGUGGCACAAUCUCGGUUCACUGCAACCUCUGCCUCCCGGGUUCAAGCAGUUCUCUUGCCUCAGCCUCCCAAGUAACUGGUACUACAGAGAAUUGAUACAAAAAAUGAUCAUGUGAAGAAUUUGCAUCUUCUGCAGAACUACCGGUAUCAGUCAGCAGUAGGAGAUUGUAUAAAUUCAGCCUGAGAUUCCAGAAUAUUCUGUGUAUUGACCACCACAGCAAGAAGAAAAAGUCCAUGUAGGACUGAAAUGAGUCUGGAUAAGCCAAAGGUUUUCCCAAAGUCACAGAACCUCUGAGAAGAAAGGCUGGGAUGAAAAUCUACUUUCCUGAACACAAGUCUUGGUUCAUUUGAAUGUUUCUUCUGGGUGCCAAUUCUUGCUCUUGGCCCAG